GCUAAAACACUGGUCCCUGUACAAUCACUAAAGUUAAGCAACAUCAAGCCUGGUCAGUACCUAGAUGGGUGACCACAUGGGAAUACCAUAUGUUGUAAG